UUUUAUAAACCCCAUGAUAGUAGGAAAAACCAAAACCAAAAAAAUUUGGCAGUUAUUUAUCCCUAGAGAAGUUUGUUUCGUAAACGACACUACUCGAUAAUUUUCACUUAAUUAAUAAGCUUAUAUACCGCCGUAUAAAGAUUAAAUAUAAAAAAUAUAUCAAAAAAUAAAACAAUAAAAAAUCAGGUCAAGGUGUAGCCAAUAAUUAAUUUAAAGAAGAAAUUAACUACACAUAAACAUAAACCAUUUAUGAAAUAAUUAAUAAAUAAUUUUAGGAAAAAGAAUCAAGAUUCAAUUAUUAGUUAAUAACUCAUAUUGAAAGUCAUUAAAAUAAUAC
rnacentral:rRNA from 1 species